UACGUAGGGGGCUAGCGUUGCUCGGAAUCACUGGGCGUAAAGCGCACGUAGGCGGCUUUCUAAGUCAGGGGUGAAAUCCUGGAGCUCAACUCCAGAACUGCCUUUGAUACUGGAGAGCUCGAGUCCGGAAGAGGUGAGUGGAACUCCGAGUGUAGAGGUGAAAUUCGUAGAUAUUCGGAAGAACACCAGUGGCGAAGGCGGCUCACUGGUCCGGUACUGACGCUGAUGUGCGAAAGCGUGGGGAGCAAACAGG
rnacentral:rRNA from 1 species